ACCACCCUAGUCCCUACACAGCACCCUAGUCCCUACACAGCACCCUAGCCCCUACACCCUAGUCCCUACACAGCACCCUAGCCCCUACACAGCACCCUAGCCCCUACACCCUAGUCCCUACACAGCACCAUAGCCCCUACACAGCACCAUAGUACCUACAUCCUAGUCCCUACACAGCACCAUAGCCCCUACACAGCACCAUAGUACCUACAUCCUAGUCCCUACACAGCACUCUAGCCCCUAGCCCCUACACAGCACCAUAGUACCUACAUCAUAGCCCCUACAUCCUAGUCCCUACACAGCACUCUAGCCCCUACACCCUAGUCUCUACACAGCACCCUAGUCCCUACAUCAUAGCCCCUACAUCCUAGUCCCUACACAGCACUCUAGUCCCUACAUCAUAGCCCCUACACAGCACCCUAGUCCCUACAUCAUAGCCCCUACAUCCUAGUCCCUACACAGCACUCUAGUCCCUACAUCAUAGCCCCUACACAGCACCCUAGUCCCUACAUCAUAGCCCCUACAUCCUAGUCCCUACACAGCACCCUAGUCCCUACAUCCUAGUCUCUACACACCACCCUAGUCCCUACACAGCACCCUAGUCCCUACAUCAUAGCCCCUACAUCCUAGUCCCUACACAGCACUCUAGCCCCUACACCCUAGUCUCUACACACCACCCUAGUCUCUACACAGCACCCUAGCCCCUACACCCUAGUCCCUACACAGCAUCAUAGCCCCUACAUCCUAGUCUCUACACAGCACCCUAGACCCUACACCCUAGUCCCUACACACCACCCUAGUCCCUACAUCCUAGUCCCUACAUGGCACCCUACUAUAUUACAGCAUAGGGCCCUUUUUGAAAAGUGUUGCACUAUACAGGGUGUUGUUUGGGAGCAGCCCUGGUGUCUCCCGUGUCUAGUUGUGAUGGCUGAGGGGCUGUGGGGUCUCAGGGCUGAUUCUCCCAAUAGCAGGCUGUUGUUAUAUGAUUGUAUCGGCUUCCACAGUCUUGACAACUGUGCUUCGGCAGUCAUGUUAGUGCAACCAACCCGCAAGGGUCAGCGUCCCAAAAUCGCACCCUAUUCCCUAAUGUGAAGUGAACUACUUUUGCCUACAGGUCACUCUGGUCAAAGUAGUCCACUGUGUAGGGAAAUGGGGAUGCUGUUUGCUGCACGAACCCCAGUGUUCAGGAUCGUGUACCUCUGCUGCAGUUGGUUCAUUUACACACCGCCUUGCUUCUUCUGUUCAGGUGUAUAUUUCAAAGUUCAGGAAUGAUCUGUGAUACUUAACGCUGGGAUGAUAUCUGACCUGUCGCCAGACUAACCCUCCGGUCAGGUGAUGUCGCCAGACUAACCCUCCGGUCAGGUGAUGUCGCCAGACUAACCCUCCGGUCAGGUGAUGUCGCCAGACUAACCCUCCGGUCAGGUGAUGUCGCCAGACUAACCCUCCGGUCAGGUGAUGUCGCCAGACUAACCCUCCGGUCAGGUGAUGUCGCCAGACUAACCCUCCGGUCAGGUGAUGUCGUGUAGGAAACCUAUAGGAAGGUAAACUAUGAUCACCGUUCACAGUGAGUAAAUGUGAUGCUCCCUAAACUUUCAAUACAUUUUUAUUUUAUUUGUAUGUAAAAGAUGGGACAGGUAAACGCUCCUGCAAAAUAACCUGUGUUUCUACUCCACUACACCUCUGUCCCCUUCCGAGUACGUUGAUGUUUUCGGAGUAUUCUGUUCAGUGUGGUUGUGUUUUCACCAUAUAACCUGAGAGGGAAUAAUGAUUUAUUUUGCACUUAAGCCUCUUUCACAUCUAAACUCAUGUUGAUCUUCCCACCGGAACCAAGCAGGCCGUCCAACCUCCACCUACAGGUCUUCAAUUAGACACCACCACCUUCACCUCCCUCUAGAACCUGGGGGGAGGGACCACCUUCACCUCCCUCUGGAACUGGGGGGGGGGGGGACCACCUUCACCUCCCUCUAGAACCUGGGGGGGGACCACCUUCACCUCCCUCUGGAACCGGGGGAGGGGGUCACCUGCCACCAAACAGAAAUGAUUUGCUACUCUGUGCCGUAAUGAACAUGCCCCAAAACCAGAAGAGAAAGACUGAAAUGUUUUUGCUACGUUGUGCUCUAAUGAACAUGCCCCAAACCAGAAGAGAAAGACCUGUCUUUGUUUUUAGUUUUUUUCCGUUGCAAAAUGUUUUUCUAUGCUGUGCCAUACUGAACACCACCCAGAGUAAGAGAUGUGGGAGGAGCUAAAGUGGAGGCCCCAGGAAACAAACUGACAGAAUUGUUCUUGUCGUGAGCGAGGGGGGGGUCUAACAUCCCAAUGUCCACACUACUGUUUAGUAUGCCGUAUGAAUGGCCGAUCCAGUGCAUCGCUCCAUACUAAGUGAUAUUGUGACGUAGUCUGUCUUCUAAUGGGUGUUCAUUAUUGACUUGUGUUGAUGUGAAAAGAUGCAGUUGCCUGACUAUUAAAGCUGAAAGGGAUAGUUUACCUGAA